CAGUGGUGAAAUAUUCGGGCUCAACCGGGAUACUGCCAUUGAUACUGUAUAGCUGGAAUAUGGUUGCUGUGGGUGGAAUGUGUGGUGUAGCGGUGAAAUGCAUAGAUAUCACACAGAAUAUCGAUUGCGAAGGCAACUCACAAAGCCAUUAUUGACGCUGAUGCACGAAAGUGUGGGGAUCAAACAGGAUUAGAUACCCUGGUAGUCCACACUGUAAACGAUGAUAACUAGCUGUCGGCGAUAGAUAGUCGGUGGCUAAGCGAAAGCGAUAAGUUAUCCACCUGGGGAGUACGACCGCAAGGUUGAAACUCAAAGGAAUUGACGGGGGCCCGCACAAGCGGAGGAACAUGUGGUUUAAUUCGAUGAUACGCGAGGAACCUUACCCGGGCUCGAACGGUGCAGGAAUAUGGUAGAGAUAUCAUAGCUAGCAAUAGUCUGUAUCGAGGUGCUGCAUGGUUGUCGUCAGCUCGUGCCGUGAGGUGUCGGCUUAAGUGCCAUAACGAGCGCAACCCUUGUCGUUAGUUACCAUCAAGUAAAGUUGGGGACUCUAGCGAGACUGCCACCGUAAGGUGUGAGGAAGGGGGGGAUGACGUCAAAUCAGCACGGCCCUUACGUCCGGGGCGACACACGUGUUACAAUGGUAGGUACAGAGGGGCGCUAUCCAGUGAUGGAGUGCGAAUCUCAAAAACCUAUCUCAGUUCGGAUUGGAGUCUGCAACUCGACUCCAUGAAGUUGGAUUCGCUAGUAAUCGCGCAUCAGCCAUGGCGCGGUGAAUACGUUCCCGGGCCUUGUACACACCGCCCGUCAAGCCAUGGAAGCCGGGGGUGCCUGAAGUUCGUGACNNCAAGGAGCGACCUAGGGCAAAACUGGUAACUGGGGCUAAGUAGUGACAAGGUAACC
rnacentral:rRNA from 1 species